UUCUUCCCCACGAUCCACCCCACCCCAAUCACGAUCCAGUUCUUCAUCUAUUCAAGCAUUCGGCUGGCCGCCGGCGGACACAUAAGGUGCACGGGAGGACUUUGGCGGGAUUACUGGUUUUCUCUUGCGGAAGGACGGACUGCAGCAGCGAUUGAAUGGGGCUGUGACCCGGCCACGACCCAGGUCGACGCGCCGUCGUUCCCGACCCUCGAUCUGGAUCGAUCGGCCCUGGGUCGUCGUCUCGUCGAACGCGCCAUCCAUCCCGUUUCCGGCUACGACGGCCCUGCAUCCCAACGCCGCCCGCCCGACCGUCUCCGUGAAGCUGUUGUGCCGCCGUGGUCGCUAGCCAGACACCCGCCUCCCGAUUGGUUAGUACUCAGUUGUUUUGCAACGUUUCCUCCAUAGCAAUUUCUAUAGCAGUGUCCGUGGCUAGACUCGAAAAGGAGUAGAUUUUCCCACCUUUGCAGUUUGGAUCAGAGAGUAGGCCUCACGUACGUAUGUGGGAUUGAGGGCCAGGUUCAGAAAAUUGUCGGGCGAGCUGUAAUUUUACUAAUUAUCAGUAUUUCAUGGAUAUAUAAGGGCACAUGGCCUAGAGGAACUCAAGUGAACAACAAAGCUAGCAGGGUAUUAGCGAUGACGCUCUGAAGUUGUGAGACUUGCACAAUUGUGUUCCAAUGAAGGAUGUUGCUGCAAUAUUACGAACGGGCCAAGUUAUCACAUAAUAUCAUAUAUGAUCUGUUUUAGAUAUCGCUUACAUUAGAUAUGCUUUAUUUGGUAAAAGUGGUUCCAAUAAAAUUAGCGGGUGUUCUUAAAGAUCAGCAUUGAUCAUUAGAACUUGUCAAUGUUCCAGUGUAAGUUAAAUAUCUUAGAAGUAUUUAAACUUUCUGUAAGUGAUCUUCAACUUUGGCUUUGGAGUGAUAUGUCCCCUGUAAUACACAUGAUUUAUAUGGUGCCUUCAUUGAAUUUAAUAUUAUUGUUCCUACUGAA